rnacentral:rRNA from 1 species
AUAUCAAUAAGCGGAGGAAAAGAAACUAACAAGGAUUCCCCUAGUAACGGCGAGUGAAGCGGGAAUAGCUCAAAUUUGAAAUCUUGCUGGUCCCCAGCACGAAUUGUAGUUUAAAGAAGCGCUUUCGGAGGUAGGCCAAGGUCAAGUCCUUUGGGAUGAGGCGUCAUAGAAGGUGAGAACCCUGUAUGCGCUUUGGCUCUUCCCUCUAUGUGAUGCGUUUUCAAAGAGUCGGGUUGUUUGGGAAUGCAGCCCAAAAUGGGUGGUAAAUACCAUCUAAAGCUAAAUAUUGGCGAGAGACCGAUAGCGCACAAGUA